GAUGAACGCUGGCGGCGUGGAUAAGGCAUGCAAGUCGGAUGUGCCGCAAGGUGCAUGGCAGACGGGUGAGUAACGCGUGGGGAAUCUACCUUUUAGUGGGGAAUAACGCUCCGAAAGGAGUGGUAAUACCGCAUGAGACCUUCGGCUGGGAUGCUGGAGGUGAAACCUGGGGACCGAAAGGCCUGGGGCUAGAAGAGGAUCCUGCGUCUGAUUAGCUAGUUGGCGGGGUAAUGGCCCACCAAGGCGACGAUCAGUAGCCGGCCUGAGAGGGUGAUCGGCCACACUGGAACUGAGACACGGUCCAGACUCCUACGGGAGGCAGCAGGGGGGAAUUUUGCGCAAUGGACGAGAGUCUGACGCAGCAACGCCGCGUGGGUGAUGAAGGUCUUCGGACUGUAAAACCCUGUCGUCAGGGACGAAGGUGCUCGUGUUAAUAGCGCGAGUGCUUGACGGUACCUGGAGAGGAAGCCCCGGCUAACUCUGUGCCAGCAGCCGCCGUAA
rnacentral:rRNA from 1 species